rnacentral:lncRNA from 1 species
CUUUUUGCCUUUUCUAAGGCCAUUCCCUUGGCAUAUGAAAGUUCCCAGGCUAGGGACCCAAUCGGAGCUGUAGCCAACCUACGCUGAAGCCACAGCAACACGGGAUCCGAGCCGCGUCUGUGACCUACACCACAGCUCAUGGCAACACCGGAUCCUUAACCCACUGAGCAAGGCCAAGGAUCGAACCCGCAACCUCAUGGUUCCUAGUUGGAUUCGUUGACCACUGAGCCACGAUGGGAACUCCCUGGAUGAGAAUUCUUAGAGCAUUUGGCCCAGGGCACUGUCUUCUCUGGAAAUGCUAGAGACACUGAUUUUCCAUUCUCUCUCCUUUUUGCAUAUAUCCCUCUUUUUGGACACUCUUCCCCACCCCACCCUGAUUUUUUAAAAAAUCAUCGUCUUUGUCUCAAUAGGCUUUCAGGAGAUCUUAUGACUUUCCAGUUUAUCUUGAUUCUCUUUAAAGUUGGUUGCUCUUUGAUGAUGUUAAUCUCAGGGAUAACCUCCAUAGUGGUCACUUGUUCAUUGCAUUCAGGAGCUAAAUGGUGGGUUAUUUCUGGGAAUAUUUUGUCCAUUAAGUCCAUCCGUUGUGAGUGAAUUCACAGUACUAUAAAUUACAUAGAAUGGCCUUUCCAUGUCUUAGUAUCGUCUUAUUUUCCUAACCUAUUGCUUUAAUUGUCUUUUAUACUAGAAUUUGGAAUCCAUUACGUUUGGGGGCCUGUAGCUCAGUGAAUGAGUUGGAAAGAUAAGUCUCCCAAAGUUGGUAUAUUUGUAGAGUAUUUCUUUCAUCAAAGAACUAAUGAAGGACCUUAGAAUUUUGGUACCUCUCUACUGAAUGCUUUAGAAAUAAAUUUUUUUUAAACUGAAUUUUCAUUUAAUGUUAUAGUGUUACUUUAUGUGUUCCAUCAAGCAUUGCAAGGUCAGAUAGAUUAACCAAUAUGAAAUCAAAACAAAACAUAAUAGUGCUAAAAAGACAGGGAAAUUGUUCUAAUUAUACCUGAUAAAGUAAACUUCUCUUGCCCUCACCCUUAUUUAUGUGAUCUCUUGAUCAUAAAUGUCAGUAUAUCCAAAAAAUUUGAUUUUAUGGUUCAAAUUAUAAUUACUUUGAUUUUUUAAUGAUGAUUAUUAAAAAAAAUCCUGAAACAUUUCACAUAUGUUUGACGUGUGCACUUAAAAAUAAAACUAGAAUUUAGAAAAAAAGGGAGAAGGCCCAUGUAAAUUUGCUGCCUUUUGGAAUAUGUCAUUUGUUCUUAACAGUUUUUUUUUUUUUUUUUUUUUUAAAGUGAAUGUUCACCACAGUUUUGCUCCAAAGGAAAUCAGUCACAAUUGUUCAGAAUGGGUGCUUAUUUAAAAAUGAAAGC